rnacentral:rRNA from 1 species
UACGGAGGAUGCGAGCGUUAUCCGGAUUUAUUGGGUUUAAAGGGUGCGUAGGUUGUUUUUUAAGUCAGCGGUGAAAGUUUGUGGCUCAACCAUAAAAUUGCCGUUGAAACUGGAAGACUUGAGUGUGUUUGAGGCAGACGGAAUUCCUAGUGUAGCGGUGAAAUGCGUAGAUAUUAGGAGGAACACCAGUGGCGAAGGCGGCCUGCUGGACAUUAACUGACGCUGAGGCGCGAAAGCGUGGGGAGCAAACAGG